GCCAGAGUCUGGGGAACUAAGAGAAGACAUCUGAGCCAGAGUCAGGAAGAGAGGCUGAGUAACACCGGAACCUGGAGGAGGAAGCUUUGGAAAGCCAUCAGGGCAGGACUGUCAUCCAUUCCACAGGAGAAACUGGUCCUGGGGUGCCACAUAGAGGGACCUGGACACACAGAUGUGACCUGGUGCUGUUGCUCUUCAUCCUGGCCUAUUAGCACCUGCGGAGCCCUUGACUGCAGAUACAAAGGGAAAACCUUAGCCAUCGAGGAACAGAACUGUCCGUUCACGUGCUCAUCCUAAGACCGGAAGUCAAGAGUGCUGUGAAGAAACCAUUCCUUUUACUCUCUCACAUCGCACAUCCUCUGACGACUAUCCUCCCAGCUCCUCCCAAUGGUGACUUUGCUUUUAGAGCUUGCUGGUCGGAACGCACAAUGCUGUGUAGGCUGCAGGCACAGUGUUAGUGGACACCUUACUGACCCACACAAGGAAGGAGCUCGGAGCCGGGUUGCUAGCUCUCCUCUGCUCACAGCUUUUGGUUCCAGGCUGCUGGGAAAAGUGUACCUGCAAUCUCUCCUGGGAUUCUCAUUUUUAACCAGACCCACUGGAGGUGCGGAGGCUACUGUUAAGCAUGGGGGAGUGAUGGGUGCCAAUGAUCUUCAGCACACACUGCUCCAUGUUCUAUGAGCUGGAAACCACUCUGGAU